UUUAGCAAGAAAACUACAAGCAAAGAGCCCUUUAGUUUGUAACCCCGAAACUGAGCGAGCUACUCCAAGACAGCCUAUAAAGGGCAAACCCGUCUCUGUGGCAAAAGAGUGGGAAGAGCUUUGAGUAGAGGUGACAAACCUACCGAGCCCAGUUAUAGCUGGUUGCCUGUGAAAUGAAUAGGAGUUCAGCCCUUUAAGUCUUUCCCCCCUCACCCAUGCUUACGCUAAAAUUGAUUAAGGAAACUAAAGGCGUUAAUCAAAAGGGGUACAGCCCUUUUGAUAGAAGAAACAACUUUAACAGGUGACCCAAGAUCAUAUUACCCAAGGAUUUCAAAUUAAGUGGGCCUAAAAGCAGCCAUCUUAUCAGAAAGCGUUAAAGCUCAAAUUAGCCUAUAUCCUCAUAUACUGAUAUUACAUCUCCCUCCCUGCCCCUUACCAGGCUGUCUUAUGCCCCCAUAAGAACAAUUAUGCUAAA
rnacentral:rRNA from 2 species